GACGAACGCUGGCGGCGUGCUUAACACAUGCAAGUCGAACGCUGAAGCUCAGCUUUUGUUGGGUGGAUGAGUGGCGAACGGGUGAGUAACACGUGAGUAACCUGCCCUCUUCUUUGGGAUAACGCCCGGAAACGGGUGCUAAUACUGGAUAUUCACUGGCCUUCGCGUGGGGGUUGGUGGAAAUGGGAUUUCUGGUGGGUGAUGGGCUCGCUGCCUAUCGGCUUGGUGGUGGGGUGAUGGCCUAACAAGGCUUUGACGGGUAGCCAGCCUGAGAGGGUGACCUGUCACAUUGGGACGGACCUGCGGCCCACGCUCCUCCGCGGGGCGGCAGUGGGGAAUAUUGGCCAAUGGCUGAUCGAGUGAUGCCGCGUCGCUGCGUGAGGCCUGCAGGUCUUCAAGUUGUGUACCUCUUUCGGUAAUGGUCCAGCUGAAACAAUCGUUGUGGUGACGGUAGUCGGUGAAGAAGCGCCGGCUAACUACGUG
rnacentral:rRNA from 1 species